rnacentral:lncRNA from 1 species
GCCUCAGCCUCUGGAGCAGCUGGGACUACAGGCGCCCGCCAUCACGCCCAGUUUCUCCUUCUCUCCUCUAUCCUGCCACUUUGUGAAGAAGGUGCUUGCUUCUCCUUCACCUUCCACCAUGAUUGUAAGUUUCCUGAGGCCUCCCCAGCCAUGUGGAACUAGGUGACAUUUUUGCCAACGCCUGAAUGAAUGAUGAGAAGGAGCCAAACAUGAAAUUCUCUGGGGAAACAGCAUUUUCUUGAGCGGGAAGAAUAAGUUCAAACUUCUGUGGCAAAGGAGAUAAGGUCAAAAUGAAAAAUAGAAUAUAAAAACUUCUCUACUCCUGACUCACCAACGCACCAGAACAACUUUUAGUCCUGCAAUCAUGAAGCAUUGAUUGAACAUCUUCUACAUAUUAUCACCACCCUAGACACUACAACAACAAAGAAGUCAAUACUAGUUUCAAUUUGUGGAAAGCUGGAAAUGCGAUGAUUCCCAUGCCCUGAGUUUCUGCUCCAGACACCAGGUGGGGGCAUGGCAAUUGUGACUGGAGAGAGUGGAGGGGUCAUCUUAUCCGCCACAUCAGAAGCUGAGGUUAGGAUAUUGUGGCAAGAGAUGAAAAGUGAAGUGAUGUGAGGAAACUUCAUCCUGAAUUCAACUAAAGCCCUGGAAUACUUGUUCAAAUAACCAGCUGACAACUUGGGGUUAAGCUGUCUUGAAUUUAACCUGUUUAGCUCAGCCAAUACAAUUAUGAAAUAAAAAGUUAACAGUCUACUAUUUUGUAGUCCCUGGAUAAAGAGGCCUAAAUGG